rnacentral:rRNA from 1 species
GCCCGUCACACCAUGGGAGUCGGAAAUGCCCGAAGCCGGUGAACCCAACCCGAAAGGGAGGGAGCCGUCGAAGGCAGGUCGGAUGACUGGGGUGAAGUCGUAACAAGGUAUC